rnacentral:tRNA from 1 species
GGUGUUCCCGAGCGGCCAAAGGGAGCAGACUGUAAAUCUGCCGUCAUCGACUUCGAAGGUUCGAAUCCUUCCCCCACCACCA